GAUUCCGUAGUGUAGUGGUUAUCACGUGUAGUGGUUAUCACGUGCGCUUAACACGCGCAAGGUCCCCGGUUCGAGCCCGGGCGGAAUCA